rnacentral:rRNA from 1 species
AUUGAACGCUGGCGGCAGGCCUAACACAUGCAAGUCGAACGAGUGGCGGACGGGUGAGUAAUGUAUGGGAAACUGCCUGAGGGAGGGGGAUAACUACUGGAAACGGUAGCUAAUACCGCAUACCAGCGGAUGUGCCCAGGUGGGAAUAGCGUGUGGGAGGGGGAAAGGCUCACCAAGGCGACGAUCCCUAGCUGGUCUGAGAGGAUGACCAGUCACACUGGAACUGAGACACGGUCCAGACUCCUACGGGAGGCAGCAGUGGGGAAUAUUGAACAAUGGGCGAAAGCCUGAUGCAGCCAUGCCGCUUGUAUGAAGAAGGCCUUCGGGUUGUAAAGUACUUUCAGCUGGGAGGCGUUACCAGCAGAAGAAGCACCGGCUAACUCCGUGCCAGCAGCCGCGGUAAUUC